rnacentral:rRNA from 1 species
CUCAAGCAAUAAUCGAGAGAGCUCACAAUCUCCAUGGAAGAUGCCUAUGAAUUCACCAUGGAAGGUCCUCUCACUCCCCUGCUCUAUCUCCUCCCACUACCUGCACACGCACACAUGGAGCAGAGAAAUAGGAUGAGAGGGAGAUGACUGAGCCGGAUAUAGGACGGAGCACAGGGGUGGCCUGCACGCAGCUCUUCUUGUGCCCGGCUGUGGAGUGUGUUGUUGUACUGACAAGGCAAAGGUCCAAAUAUAUCACCAAAAUAAGCAAGCAGGCAACAA